GAAGCAGCCCCCUCUUGUGACUGAAUAAACAGACCGCAGAGCUAAACUCCCACCUUUUGAAAAGUUGCUCAGAUUGAAAGUAUGCAUGCAGCAUGAUGGCAUACUUCUGAAGUUCGCCCACUACUGUGAGCCUGAAGGAGAGUGUAGGCAAAAUGUUCGUCUGAGGAGGCCUUACAAAUAACUAAGAAAAGAAGAGAAAAGAAAAGCAAAGGAGAAAAGGAGCGAUAUACCCAUUUGAAUGCAGAGUUUCCAAGAAUAGCAAGGAGAGAUAAGAAGGUCCUCCCCAGUGAUCAGUGAAA